rnacentral:rRNA from 1 species
GAUGAACGCUAGCUAUAGGCUUAACACAUGCAAGUCGAGGGGAAACGGCAUUAUGUGCUUGCACAUUUUGGACGUCGACCGGCGCACGGGUGAGUAUCGCGUAUCCAACCUGCCCUUUACUUGGGGAUACCCCGUUGAAAGACGGCCUAAUACCCGAUGUAAUUCAUUGAUGGCAUCAGAUAUGAAUAAAAGAUUUAUCGGUAAAGGAUGGGGAUGCGUCUGAUUAGCUUGUUGGUGAGGUAACGGCUCACCAAGGCGACGAUCAGUAGGGGUUCUGAGAGGAGGGUCCCCCAAAUUGGAACUGAGACACGGGCCAAACUCCUACGGGAGGCAGCAGUGAGGAAUAUUGGUCAAUGGGAGAAAGCCUGAACCAGCCAAGUAGCGUGCAGGAAGACGGCCCUAUGGGUGGUAAACUGCUUUUAUACGAGAAUAAUUUGAUGCACGUGUGCGUUAUUGCAUGUAUCGUAUGAAUAAGGACCGGCUAAUUCCGUG